UAGGGAAUUUUCGGCAAUGGGGGGAACCCUGACCGAGCAACGCCGCGUGAAGGAAGAAGGAAUUCGUUCUGUAAACUUCUGUUAUAAAGGAAGAACGGCGGAUAUAGGGAAUGAUAUCCGAGUGACGGUACUUUAUGAGAAAGCCACGGCUAACUACGUGCCAGCAGCCGCGGUAAUACGUAGGUGGCGAGCGUUAUCCGGAAUUAUUGGGCGUAAAGAGGGAGCAGGCGGCGGCAGAGGUCUGUGGUGAAAGACUGAAGCUUAACUUCAGUAAGCCAUAGAAACCGGGCUGCUAGAGUGCAGGAGAGGAUCGUGGAAUUCCAUGUGUAGCGGUGAAAUGCGUAGAUAUAUGGAGGAACACCAGUGGCGAAGGCGACGGUCUGGCCUGUAACUGACGCUCAUUCCCGAAAGCGUGGGGAGCAAAUAGGAUUAGAUACCCUAGUAGUCCACGCCGUAAACGAUGAGUACUAAGUGUUGGGAGUCAAAUUUCAGUGCUGCAGUUAACGCAAUAAGUACUCCGCCUGAGUAGUACGUUCGCAAGAAUGAAACUCAAAGGAAUUGACGGGGGCCCGCACAAGCGGUGGAGCAUGUGGUUUAAUUCGAAGCAACGCGAAGAACCUUAUCAGGUCUUGACAUCCGGAUAAAGACCUCAGAGAUGAGGGGAUAGAUAUAUCCGAGACAGGUGGUGCAUGGUUGUCGUCAGCUCGUGUCGUGAGAUGUUGGGUUAAGUCCCGCAACGAGCGCAACCCUUGUCGCUAGUUACCAUCAUUAAGUUGGGGACUCUAGCGAGACUGCCAGUGACAAGCUGGAGGAAGGCGGGGAUGACGUCAAAUCAUCAUGCCCCUUAUGACCUGGGCUACACACGUGCUACAAUGGAUGGAGCAGAGGGAAGCGAAGCCGCGAGGUGAAGCAAAACCCAUAAAACCAUUCUCAGUUCGGAUUGUAGUCUGCAACUCGACUACAUGAAGUUGGAAUCGCUAGUAAUCGCGAAUCAGCAUGUCGCGGUGAAUACGUUCUC
rnacentral:rRNA from 1 species